rnacentral:lncRNA from 1 species
UUUUGAUCAAUGACCCAGCUUCCUGAGAGCUGCAGAAAAAUCCAGAUUUUCCAGACCCUCGGAGAUGUGAUGGAACCUGGCUGAUGGACACAUGGCUGGUGUUGUAACCUAGAGCCCCCAGCUCCUCUCCUGCUCACUGAGUCCUGGGCCCAGAUUCCAGCAGGGAACCUGGGCAGACCACUCUCACUGGAGCCUGUGAGCUCCAGGGGGCCCCACAGUGACCUGGCUGCCCAUUUGACUGUAGCAUGGGCUGUAACACUUCCUCUGUAAACUCAGCCUGGCUCCCUUCCUCUCUUCUCUCCCAUUCCAUCUGUGCACAGCCCUGCCAGCUCUCCUCUGAGGACAUUUGCCUCAUGCGGCAGCAGGUGGGCUCUUGAGGACAGCUUCACUGAGCCAUGGUCUGCUCAGCUGCCCCUGUGCUGCUCCUGGCCGUGACUCUCCCUCUGGUGGAGCCACCAGCUGCCCGAGCAUCCCAGCCUGGACAGAGGCAGGCUCGAGGGGGAUCAGGGCCACAGCUGGACCCCGAAAAUGGAGCAGGUGAACUGGUCCCGAUCUCCGUCUACGUACAGCUGGACUUCUCCGAUGACCCCUGGCCGGCAGCACUCUCCCAGCCACUGACUGUCCCGACUGCCUCGGCUUCCUCAGCCCCAGUGACUCUCACUGGCCUCAACCUUACAACAGGUGGGGAAGAACCUCCCCUGACCCCUGGCCUUUCAGUGGCUCUUAGCUGCUCAGGUGGGAGGGGGUGCUCAGGGUGUGAGAGCCCAG